UACGUAGGGACCAAGCGUUGUUCGGAUUUACUGGGCGUAAAGGGCGCGUAGGCGGCAUGACAAGUCACUUGCGAAAUCUCCGGGCUUAACUCGGAACGGCCAAGUGAUACUGUCACGCUAGAGUGCAGAAAGGGCAAUCGGAAUUCUUGGUGUAGCGGUGAAAUGCGUAGAUAUCAAGAGGAACACCAGUGGCGAAGGCGAGUCCCUGGACAAAACCUGACACUGGAGGCAACGAAAGCUAGGGGAGCAAACAGG
rnacentral:rRNA from 1 species